rnacentral:lncRNA from 1 species
GGAUCCUUCAAAGCCCAUUACAUUUUCAAACCUACAAAAGCAGUGCGUCUUGCUGAUCUUGCCUUCAGAAAGACAUUUUAUGUUUUUGCAAAAUAAAAGUUAAUUUUUGAUCUGAGGUACACUUUCAGUAUGGAAGAUAUCUGUUUGAAUGGUUGUUAGAAGCAAGGAACAAAAGCAUUUACACAGAAAUGGAAGGACAAGAUAACACUCUUGUCUGCAAAGAGCAAAACACUUGCGUGGAAGUGCAUGACCCAAGCAGAAAGUCUAGAAGCACAGCUCCAGUUCACCUGGCAUUAUGCUGCUGCUGAGCGCAAUUACAGCCACUGUAACCUAUUUACUGUUGCAUUGUGCUGCUGCAAGAAUCCUUAAAGUGUCAAUUCAACGUUCUCUUAUUGGCAGUGAUAAAGUCAUUCGUGUUGUUCCUGAGAGUGAGAGGGAGACACAGAUCCUGAAGGCUGCAUUUAACAGGCUUAAGGUUCAUUCUUUUCAUCCUAAUCAUUUGCAACUUGUUACAAUCGUCAACAAAGAAAGAGAAAUGUUUAUGAUGAGAUGGAGUGACCUGAGUAUCACAGAACUGCCCAAUCUCUGUCCUGCAGGGCUCUUCUCGUCCAUCCCCUGUCCCUCUGCCUCACAUCAUCUCCAAGGACUGCCCCUCGUCUCUCGCUCUUUCUUGUUUAGGAGACCAUCUGAGAAGCCUGAUGCUGAUUUAUGAACCUUUUCAUGGUUUUAAAUCUGUUGGACUUGACUGACAGAAACAAAUGUCACAUUCCAAACUGCUUUGCAAAGAAACAGAUUUGCUCAGGUUCUCAGAACCCACAGAUUUGGUUUAUCUGCUCUGGAAUUUUCUUUCGUAAGCAUUAUUUUUGAAGUGCCACUUCAUUCAAGCCUUGAUAACUUCUAGUCUACCAGUGGUCUAUGAGCACAUUUAAUCAUAUAUGCCUGACUGGAAUCGGUGUUGUUUGUAUAACUAGCAAAGAAGCUACUGCUCUGUGAACAUUCCUGGCAUAAUAGAGUCAGACCACUCAUUCUUCAGUAGAUUUUACAAAAGAAAUUCCUGGGCGCAGCCAAG